UGCCCGCUCCAGUGUUUCCGUGCUCCUGUUUGUUUAUUCAACACAACGCCAACGCCAACGCUAACGCAUCGCCUCAGCUACUUCGGGAGCUGCCGCGUCGUCCGUGCGUGGGGGACCGGCCGCGCACCGCCGCCUCGGCGACCCGGCCCGCCGGACGCCAUGGAUGCCGGCGACGAGCCCUCCGUCACCCGCUGGUCCUUCCAGGACUUCGAGCGCUACUACGACGCGGGCCUCGGCAUCUGCCGCCAGCCCAAGGGCGACGGCGACGACGACGACAACGCGCCGCCCGGAUCGGGCUCCGCCGACACCGCUCACGGCCACGCCAACGGCGGCGCCGACCUGUCCGUCUUCGAGCAGUUCCAGCGGAUGGAUAGAAAUGUCGAGUUGCGCAAUGGGGCAAUGGAUGCCGGGCCACCGCAGAAAUCCCUGCUUCCUUCUUUUGAAUCUGCAGAAACACGCAACUUAGCCGAGACAUUGUUGAGGGAUAUCAUUCGUGGGAGUCCAGAUGUCAAAUGGGAAAGCAUUAAAGGUUUGGAAACUGCGAAGCGACUUCUUAAGGAGGCAGUUGUCAUGCCUAUAAAGUAUCCCAAGUACUUCACAGGUCUGUUAUCACCCUGGAAAGGUAUAUUGCUAUUUGGUCCACCAGGAACAGGAAAGACAAUGCUGGCAAAAGCUGUGGCUACCGAGUGCAAAACAACUUUUUUCAACAUUUCAGCCUCAUCAAUUGUCAGCAAAUGGCGUGGUGACUCGGAGAAACUAGUAAAAGUCUUAUUUGAGCUUGCAAGGCAUCAUGCACCAUCUACCAUUUUCCUUGAUGAGAUUGAUGCUAUCAUUAGCCAACGUGGUGAAGCUCGUAGUGAACAUGAAGCCAGUCGGCGAUUGAAGACUGAACUAUUAAUACAGAUGGAUGGAUUGACUAAGACAGAUGAGCUUGUUUUUGUUCUGGCGGCCACAAAUUUACCUUGGGAACUAGACGCAGCAAUGUUACGCCGAUUGGAAAAACGUAUUCUUGUGCCCUUACCAGAGGCAGAAGCUAGGCAUGCUAUGUUUGAAGAGUUCCUUCCAUCGACUCCAGAUACAAUGGAGAUUCCAUAUGAUGUUCUUGUGGAGAACACCGAAGGAUAUUCCGGCUCUGAUAUACGCCUUGUCUGUAAGGAGGCAGCAAUGCAACCACUUAGACGGUUAAUGGCAGUUCUAGAAGGCAGACAAGAAGAAAUGCCAGAGGAUGAGUUGCCUGAAGUUGGCCCAAUAGCGGCAGAAGAUAUCGAACUUGCCUUGAGGAAUACACGGCCGUCUGCUCAUCUCCAUGCACAUAGAUAUGAGAAAUUCAAUCAAGAUUAUGGCAGCCAUGUCAUUGGCUAAAGGAGCAUGUUGAUAUGACCUUGUUUGCACCCUGUAUGGAGCUUUAGUAUUCGUCGGCAGAAAGGAUAAUUACCAUCCAUGUAUUUCCAGCUCGAACACCACCUCUUUGCAACACCCCUGGAAGGGAACCACCCAGGAGAUGUGCGACAAAGGAGCGCCCAAACCCAAGGAUGUCCGGAAGGAGUCAUGGAAGGGGAUCGCCACCAGCGUCAUCUUCCUCGUGUUUUUUUUUUUUCGAGGCAUCAUCUUCCUCGUGUUAUUGAUGCGGCUAUGCCACGAAGCUUUUGCACUAAGGAAUCUUUCAUGUUAGCACAACAUAGGGAUAAAUUCCUUCACAAUACAAACUGACUGUCCGCAAACCAUGAAUGAUGGAGGCUUCUUGGCUACGUCAGCGGAUACAGUUUAUGCCGAUUGUAAUGUUCUUCUUUCUGGGUUCGAUAAUGUUCUUCUUGAACAUUGUAAAACGGAGGCCUAUAAAG